UCCGGAGGGUGCAAGCGUUAUCCGGAUUCACUGGGUUUAAAGGGUGCGUAGGCGGGUUGGUAAGUCAGUGGUGAAAUCCCCGAGCUUAACUUGGGAACUGCCAUUGAUACUAUCAGUCUUGAAUAUUGUGGAGGUUAGCGGAAUAUGUCAUGUAGCGGUGAAAUGCUUAGAUAUGACAUAGAACACCAAUUGCGAAGGCAGCUGGCUACACAUAUAUUGACACUGAGGCACGAAAGCGUGGGGAUCAAACAGG
rnacentral:rRNA from 1 species